rnacentral:rRNA from 1 species
UACGGAGGGUGCAAGCGUUGUUCGGAAUCACUGGGCGUAAAGCGCGUGUAGGCGGUUCGCUAAGUCCGAUGUGAAAUCCCGGGGCUUACCCCCGGAAGUGCAUCGGAUACUGGCGGACUAGAGUACCGGAGAGGAGGACGGAAUUCCUGGUGUAGCGGUGAAAUGCGUAGAUAUCAGGAGGAACACCGGUGGCGAAGGCGGUCCUCUGGACGGAUACUGACGCUGAGACGCGAAAGCGUGGGGAGCAAACAGG